rnacentral:rRNA from 1 species
UACGUAGGGACCAAGCGUUGUUCGGAUUUACUGGGCGUAAAGGGCGCGUAGGCGGCAUGACAAGUCACUUGUGAAAUCUCCGGGCUUAACUCGGAACGGCCAAGUGAUACUGUCAAGCUAGAGUGCAGAAAGGGCAAUCGGAAUUCUUGGUGUAGCGGUGAAAUGCGUAGAUACAAUCAAGAACUCCGAUUGCGUAGGCAGCUAACUAGGCUGUAACUGACGCUGAGGCACGAAAGCGUGGGGAGCGAACAGG